UUUUUUCCAGCCUAUUCCCAUAAAUUGUACCCCUCAUAUUAGCUAAAUGUUUAAUAUAGAUGCUGUUAUUUCAGAUUUGUGUGGUUUAUUUUUUUUAUUUUUUUCUGCCCCUGGCUCCACCCUGCUUGUGUCAGUGUGUAUCUGCACAAUGAAAAACACGGACACACGUACAGACACACAGAUCCAAACACACAUACAAACAAUGCCACACCUAGAGAUGCAAACAUUAAAGCGGCACUGUCAUGCCGAACUUACCUUUCC
rnacentral:lncRNA from 1 species